AGUAACUUUUAUGUGGAAAAGUAUGGAAAAAUGUUUUUCCCCAACUUAACAGCUUACAUGAGUUCUGGACCACUUGUCGCCAUGAUAUUAGCUAGACAUAAAGCCAUCUCUUAUUGGUUAGAACUUUUGGGACCAAAUAAUAGCUUAGUAGCGAAGGAGACACAUCCAGACAGUCUGAGGGCAAUUUAUGGCACAGAUGACCUAAGGAAUGCACUUCAUGGGAGUAAUGACUUUGCUGCUGCGGAAAGAGAAAUACGUUUUAUGUUUCCUGAAGAGAAGUUGUAAACCUUUGAGAAGUGGACAUACGAGGAAGAACACUGAAGUUUUUGGUUUGUUUUUAAUAUUUUUAGAGCAGAAAUAAAAUUUGGUGAUUUUUGUUAUAAGGAAAAAAAUGCAAAGCAUUGAGCAAAAUUUUGGAUUUUUUUAGUAUGUUAUUUUUCCUGUUAUGACUUAUUUUUCCCUAAGUCAUUUAGAUCUGUUCCUCAGUAUUUUCCACUGGAUAUUCAUUCAAAUAAAACAGAAAACUGUCUUGGAGAUUUAAAA
rnacentral:lncRNA from 1 species